GACGAACGCUGGCGGCGUGCUUAACACAUGCAAGUCACGGGGGCCCAGGGGCAACUCUGGGCAACCGGCGAACGGGUGCGUAACACGUGAGCAACCUGCCUAUCUGCGGGGGAUAGCCGGCCCAACGGCCGGGUAAUACCGCAUACGUUCACGAGGGGACAUCCCCUUGUGAGGAAAACUCCGGUGCAGAUAGAGGGGCUCGCGGCCUAUCAGCUAGUUGGUGAGGUAACGGCUCACCAAGGCGACGACGGGUAGCUGGUCUGAGAGGAUGGCCAGCCACAUUGGGACUGCGACACGGCCCAGACUCCUACGGGAGGCAGCAGUGGGGAAUUUUCCGCAAUGGGCGAAAGCCUGACGGAGUGACGCCGCGUGUGGGACGAAGGCCUUCGGUCGUAACCAC
rnacentral:rRNA from 1 species